UACGUCGGCAGCAAGCGUUGUUCGGAGUUACUGGGCGUAAAGGGUGCGUAGGCGGUCCUAUAAGUAUGGUGUGAAAUCUCCCGGCUUAACUGGGAGGGUGCGCUAUAGACUGUGGGACUAGAGUGUGGGAGAGGAAAGUGGAAUUCCUGGUGUAGCGGUGAAAUGCGUAGAUAUCAGGAGGAACACCGGUGGUGUAAACGGCUUUCCGGACCAUAACCGACGCUGAGGCACGAAAGCGUGGGUAGCAAACAGG
rnacentral:rRNA from 1 species